rnacentral:rRNA from 1 species
CUAGCGACUUCAGAGUUUGAUCCUGGCUCAGGAUGAAUGCUGGCGGCGUGCCUAAUACAUGCAAGUCGAGCGGUAACAGGGUUUCACCGUGUUCUUGACACUCCGGGCUUUAAGCAGGAGGUUAGAUUUCGAGGACACCGUGAAGCUGCUGACGAGCGGCGGACGGCUGAGUAACGCGUGGGAACAUACCCCAAACUGAGGGAUAACGCACCGAAAGGUGUGCUAAUACCGCAUAUGAUCUUCGGAUUAAAGCUUCGGCGGUUUGGGAAUGGCCUGCGUACGAUUAGAUAGUUGGUGAGGUAAUGGCUCACCAAGUCGACGAUCGUUAGAUGGUUUGAGAGGAUGAUCAUCCAGACUGGGACUGAGACACGGCCCAG